CUGUACCCAUACCGAACACAGAAGUUAAGCAUCUCAGCGGCGAUGGUACUAGGGUGGAGACGCCCUGGGAGAGUAGCACGUUGCCAGAC
rnacentral:rRNA from 1 species